rnacentral:ncRNA from 1 species
GAAGUCCGGUGAGAACCCGGCACUGUCCCGCAACGGUGGAGCCCGGCGA